rnacentral:rRNA from 1 species
UGAGGAAUAUUGGUCAAUGGGCGAGAGCCUGAACCAGCCAAGUGGCGUGCAGGAUGACGGCCCUAUGGGUUGUAAACUGCUUUUGUAUGGGGAUAAAGUCAAUCACGUGUGAUUGUUUGCAGGUACCAUACGAAUAAGGACCGGCUAAUUCCGUGCCAGCAGCCGCGGUAAUACGGAAGGUCCGGGCGUUAUCCGGAUUUAUUGGGUUUAAAGGGAGCGUAGGCUGGAGAUUAAGUGUGUUGUGAAAUGUAGACGCUCAACGUCUAACUUGCAGCGCAUACUGGUUUCCUUGAGUACGCACAACGUUGGCGGAAUUCGUCGUGUAGCGGUGAAAUGCUUAGAUAUGACGAAGAACUCCGAUUGCGAAGGCAGCUGACGGGAGCGCAACUGACGCUGAAGCUCGAAGGUGCGGGUAUCGAACAGGAUUAGAUACCCUGGUAGUCCGCACAGUAAACGAUGGAUGCCCGCUGUUGGUACCUGGUAUCAGCGGCUAAGCGAAAGCAUUAAGCAUCCCACCUGGGGAGUACGCCGGCAACGGU